rnacentral:rRNA from 1 species
UACAGAGGGUGCGAGCGUUAAUCGGAAUUACUGGGCGUAAAGGGUGCGUAGGCGGUAUUUUAAGUUAGAUGUGAAAUCCCCGGGCUUAACCUGGGAAUUGCAUUUAAGACUGGGAUGCUGGAGUAGAGUAGAGGGAAGUGGAAUUUCCGGUGUAGCGGUGAAAUGCGUAGAUAUCGGAAGGAACACCAGUGGCGAAAGCGGCGCACUGGACCACUACUGACGCUGAGGCGCGAAAGCUAGGGGAGCAAACGGG